rnacentral:snRNA from 1 species
AUCACUUCUUGGCCUUUUGGCUAAGAUCAAGUGUAGUAUCUGUUUUUAUCAGUUUAAUAUAUGAUACAGCCUAUAUCUGAGGACAGUAUAUUAAAUGGAUUUUUGGAGUUCAGAGUUGGAAUAGGAGCUCUCUCCAUCCACUACAUGCAUCAACCUGGUAUUGCAGUAACUCUAGGAACGGUGCACCCCCU